rnacentral:rRNA from 1 species
GAUGAACGCUGGCGGCGUGCCUAAUACAUGCAAGUAGAACGCUGAAGGAAGGAGCUUGCUCUUUCCGGAUGAGUUGCGAACGGGUGAGUAACGCGUAGGUAACCUGCCUGGUAGCGGGGGAUAACUAUUGGAAACGAUAGCUAAUACCGCAUAACAGUAGAUGUUGCAUGAUAUCUACUUAAAAGGUGCAAUUGCACCACUACCAGGGGGACCUGCGUUGUAUUAGCUAGUUGGUGAGGUAACGGCUCACCAAGGCGACGAUACAUAGCCGACCUGAGAGGGUGAUCGGCCACACUGGGACUGAGACACGGCCCGGACUCCUACGGGAGGCAGCAGUAGGGAAUCUUCGGCAAUGGACGGAAGUCUGACCGAGCAACGCCGCGUGAGUGAAGAAGGUUUUCGGAUCGUAAAGCUCUGUUGUAAGAGAAGAACGAGUGUGAGAGUGGAAAGUUCACACUGUGACGGUAUCUUACCAGAAAGGGACGGCUAACUACGUG